rnacentral:lncRNA from 1 species
CAUUUUGCAUUUCAGCUGACGAUAUGCAGAUUGGAAAUGUCAGAUGAUGGCGAAAAAGGCGAGCCAAGAAAGAAUUUGCAGAAUGAAUGGCUAAGGAAGCACAGAAUAGGCGUCUCUCACAAAUACCUCAAUGGAAACGUGAUCUACUAGCCAGGCGAGAGGAAACCGAAAAUAAACUAAUAGCAUCAAUUUAUACACCCAAGGUGGAGAAAAAUAAUCGUAUAUCUGAAACUUGGCAACUUAGAAUCGAGCAAUUUCAAUUGAUAGCAUUAAUUUGGUUUCUCCGAGCGUUGAUACUUUUCCAAUUGCUUCCGGAACUUUUGACAAUAGUAACAAGGAAAACAAGGAACAAAAUGAACAAGCUGCGAUCAUAAAUAUUCCAGUAUCAGAGCCCAGUCACGAAAAACCAAUAGCAGGCUAAGUUUAAUUUAGGAACGAACAUUUCUUAACCCUGAUUCAGAUUUACGUAAUUGUGAGUUUAAACUAACUACGUGAGAAUUUCAUCUUUGCUGUUUAACAGUUUAUAUGUGUACGUACAUAUAUAUUUUAUGUACAUUUACAUCAACUGAACAAUUAUUUACUCCUUAACAAAAUAGUAUAUAGAAUCGCCAAAUGGGUAAAACAAAACUUGGUAGCAUUGCAAAUAGCAGGUGUACCACUAUGUGAGAUAUGCAAAUACUCUCUCAUAUAAAUUCAAAUAUAUCAAAUACUUUGUUGUUGCUUUUACAUGCCAAAUUUUUAACAUAACGUGUAGAGCAAUGCCGAAUCGGAGAUAUGUAGCAUAUGAAUCUUUUAAGGAUACAGUGGUCCGACUUCUUGGCAGAACUAAAUAAAAUAUAUGCACAGUUGAGUAAGAACAAUCCUACAUUUACCAUUCAAAAAUACAUUUGGGCUGGAAACAUGUGGUUUCAAUUAAUUUAAUAUCAAUAUUAUGCGUAACAAUAAUUUACAAUAAAAAAUGAAUUUUAAUAAAUUGUAAUAUUAUUAAAUUAUGAA